rnacentral:rRNA from 1 species
AUAAGCAACGUGCCCCGAAGACUGGGAUAUACAGCCGAGAGGCUGGGCAAUACCGGAUGUGACGGAAGAUCGGCAUCGAUUUUCCAUUAAACAGUUUUUUGCUUCGGGAGCGGCUUAUGGCCUAUCAGGUAGUUGGUGAGGUAACGGCUCACCAAGCCGACGACGGGUAGCGGGUCUGAGAGGAUGGUCCGCUCGAGUGGGACUGAGACACGGCC